rnacentral:rRNA from 1 species
UACAGAGGUCCCGAGCGUUGUUCGGAUUCAUUGGGCGUAAAGGGUGCGUAGGUGGCGCUGUAAGUGGGGUGUGAAAUCCCCGGCUUAACUCCGGAACUGCAUUCCAUACUGCGGUGCUUGAGGACUGGAGAGGAGACUGGAAUUCAUGGUGUAGCAGUGAAAUGCGUAGAGAUCAUGAGGAAGACCAGUGGCGAAGGCGGGUCUCUGGACAGUUCCUGACACUGAGGCACGAAGGCCAGGGGAGCAAACGGG